rnacentral:rRNA from 1 species
UACGUAGGGUCCGAGCGUUGUCCGGAAUUACUGGGCGUAAAGAGCUCGUAGGUGGUUUGUCACGUUGUUCGUGAAAACUCACAGCUCAACUGUGGGCGUGCGGGCGAUACGGGCAGACUGGAGUACUGCAGGGGAGACUGGAAUUCCUGGUGUAGCGGUGGAAUGCGCAGAUAUCAGGAGGAACACCGGUGGCGAAGGCGGGUCUCUGGGCAGUAACUGACGCUGAGGAGCGAAAGCCAGGGGAGCAAACAGG